rnacentral:misc_RNA from 1 species
GGGCUCCAAAUGAGAACUAAAUGAAACGCAUAAUCAACAAAACUUUUCAAGAGACCUAUAAUUGACUUUAUGAAGAAAAGCAUGACAUUUGCAACUGUUAGUUCUAUUGGACUCACUAUUAAGCGUUCAUUUCCUAAACCACUGCCCUUCUUUCACUAGAAAUUUGUAUUAUUAAUUUGUUUUUCCACUGUUCCAAUAGUCCUACUAGUCAAAAUGCCAAGAAAUUACUCAUUAGAGAACACCCCAAUCACAGUGAGAUGUCCUACCCUCCCAAAAGAGAGAAAACCGAAUUAGGCAAACAAAUGCCUACAUUGGCAUUAACCAACCUGCAACAAUGAAAUUUAACUAUGACUAAACCAUGGUCCCACUGCACCAUUCACAUGUCCAUUGCCGUGGAUUCCCACACCAUUUGGGAUCAUCAGUGAAGGAGGUAAUCCAACAGCCAUUGGAGGUGGUGCAGCAGGGUACAACCCAUGAUUGUGAGGUACAGCGUGGGGGCUCACAAGAGGACUGGCAGCAG